rnacentral:lncRNA from 1 species
UAUUAUGUUUAUAUAUUACAUAAUUUGCAAAAAAGUGGAGAUGAGAUAAUAAAGUUACUUUGGAAAGUGAUUCUAGUAUUAAUGAGAUUGGUUGUUAAAAAUAAUUAAGACUAUAAUUUUCUUUGGAAAUUGAUUCUGGAAGUUUGCUAUUUUUUUUUUCCAUACAUGCGUUUCUUUUUUAUUUGGAGCAUUACCCCAUCUAAUUGUACGUUAAAAAUAGGUUAGUGCUUGAUGUGGGAAAAGCUUUUCUGGUAAAUGGGUUAUUUUUUUUAUGAGUCCUANCUAUAUAGCUAUUUUCCAUUAUCUUUUGGUAUUUUGGGGUAGCGAUAAAUGUGUAAAAGAAAGAGUAUAUUGAUAAAGAUAUUUUUUCCAAAAUCAAAAGAGCGAUUAGGUAAAAAANNNN